rnacentral:rRNA from 1 species
AUUGAACGCUGGCGGCAGGCCUAACACAUGCAAGUCGAACGGUAACAGGAAACAGCUUGCUGUUUCGCUGACGAGUGGCGGACGGGUGAGUAAUGUCUGGGAAACUGCCUGAUGGAGGGGGAUAACUACUGGAAACGGUAGCUAAUACCGCAUAACGUCGCAAGACCAAAGAGGGGGACCCUCGGGCCUCUUGCCAUCUGAUGUGCCCAGAUGGGAUUAGCUUGUUGGUGGGGUAACGGCUCACCAAGGCGACGAUCCCUAGCUGGUCUGAGAGGAUGACCAGCCACACUGGAACUGAGACACGGUCCAGACUCCUACGGGAGGCAGCAGUGGGGAAUAUUGCACAAUGGGCGCAAGCCUGAUGCAGCCAUGCCGCGUGUAUGAAGAAGGCCUUCGGGUUGUAAAGUACUUUCAGCGGGGAGGAAGGGAGUAAAGUUAAUACCUUUGCUCAUUGACGUUACCCGCAGAAGAAGCACCGGCUAACUCCGUG